GACAUAACAAGAUAAAACACAAACUAAAUUUCAAAUCUGCAAUGCUUCGAAGGACCCAUGGGAGGAAUUAUUUGGGAUCAUACACAAGAGCAACGCCUGGGUUUAGUACCUAUGCAACAGGUUCUGCUUUUAACACGCAACGUAUCUCAAUAGGACAUGGCAAUGGUAUGUGCACAUAUUUAUCAGUAACUUACAUACCGGGUUAUGCGCUGACCAACUUGCUGCGGAUCAGCGCAGAUAGCUUUGGGAUGUAAAUGGAUAAAGUCUUACGUAUCUAUUA